rnacentral:rRNA from 1 species
GUAGGGAAUCUUCCACAAUGGGCGAAAGCCUGAUGGAGCAACGCCGCGUGAGUGAAGAAGGUUUUCGGAUCGUAAAACUCUGUUGUAAGGGAAGAACAAGUACAGUAGUAACUGGCUGUACCUUGACGGUACCUUAUUAGAAAGCCACGGCUAACUACGUGCCAGCAGCCGCGGUAAUACGUAGGUGGCAAGCGUUGUCCGGAAUUAUUGGGCGUAAAGCGCGCGCAGGUGGUCCUUUAAGUCUGAUGUGAAAGCCCACGGCUCAACCGUGGAGGGUCAUUGGAAACUGGGGGACUUGAGUGCAGAAGAGGAAAGUGGAAUUCCAAGUGUAGCGGUGAAAUGCGUAGAGAUUUGGAGGAACACCAGUGGCGAAGGCGACUUUCUGGUCUGUAACUGACACUGAGGCGCGAAAGCGUGGGGAGCAAACAGGAUUAGAAACCCUAGUAGUCC